CCAUGUUUACCCGGAAACCUGAGCUUCUCUCCACGGCUGCUGGAGAAAUAUUGAAUUGAUCACAAAUUCGUCCCGUUUUAUAACGUACGUUGUUCGUAACUGAACGUUUAUCGUUAUGUACAGCGGUCUCCUGCCCAAGGGUUUAACAGAAGACGACCUCAGUCCGGAUGACCAGGAAGAGGAGCGUGAGCGUGAACUCGGGGAAGAAUACGAAGAAAACCCCGUCUUCAAGACUCCUACGGUUAUCGAUGCUCCAAAUGAACCCCCGACAUGCAACCUGCCUGGCAUAUCCCAGGAGACGUGGCAAAAAUUUAAUGAGCUGCGUAAGAAGAAAGACGAGACGAAGAUGACGAAAAUCCCGAGGAAAAAAAGAAGAAAAAGCCGACAAUGCAAGAAAGAAGGUGAAAAGCCAACAGAGACGAGAGUGCGUCAGGAGGAGUUGGAGAAGCACUGGAAUGGGCUUAAGCAAUAUUUUGGUGUAAAUGAUCGAUUUCAUCCCCCUGCAUGUUCCAGCCCCCCUCCCAAGUCCGGCCUAGAAAAGAGCAUAGAGAAGGCCAUAGCUGAAGGGGACACUGCAAAGGCGGAGGAGAUGAGCGACAGACUCGCCACUCGAGAGAAAGAGGAACCGUCACCUGCUCGGCGCCACAGUGCUGACAGUGCCAGUGAUCCAUGAAAUAAGCUGCCGCUGGCUUUGUUCAGAUAAGAAUGAACAAAUCUGCACAAUGUACUGCUCUCGGAAUCUCAUUUUCAUACUUGCAUGCAGGCUGAAGGAAAUAAGCUGUUUGCAGGCUUGAUUAAUCAGACAUUUGAGGUUUUUUUUUUGUCUCUUUGAUCUGUUCUGUCUCCAAGGUAACUUGGUUGACAUUAAUGUUGAGCCUCAGCUAAGAUAAUCACGAAACUAAACUGAUUAAAGAAGGCAAAAUUAUGAGCCUUUGUUACUUCUUAUUUUAUAUUUUUUUAUGAAGUACAUUGUACGUUUGAAUUAACAAACAUGGGAAUAAUGGUUAUGAGCGUGUUCUUUUAAUUUUGGCUUUGCAAUGUUUGGGCAGCUUUCAAAUGGCUCAGCGGGAGAGCAGGUGAUUGUGCAUAAUCCCUAAGUGGGGGAAAAAAGGUAACUUUGUGAACCCAUUUAGUGUCAUGCUGUAGCGUUUGAUUGUUCCCCAACAAUGAGGCCUCAUAGCCACAGAGCUGCUGUUGGAUUUGUCAAUACUGUAAUUUAAUAAACGUGUGUGUAUAAUCUUCCUGCCGCAUCGCAACUACUCUGAAGCAUCGGCACCGGCCCAACAAAGAGCAGGGAAAAGCCCUGGUGUGCGCUCAUCUGCUUGCAAAUCUACUGCAAAUGCAGACUUCGUUGCCCGUUGUAAGGCUCUGCAAGAGGAGAAAACAUUAUUUGGAGAGUUUUAAAAGCUAGAAAAUGGCAAAGGACUGUCAUCAUAUGUACGCUCCAGGUUAUACAGACGUUUUCACAAAUCUUGUAGUGGCUGUAAAGAUGAAUGCCUUGAGGGCCCUGCCACAGCCCGCCACUUGCAGCCAGCCAGAGCCCUUAUCUUAAAUCCAAGCAAAGUACCAUUAAUCUUUUUGAAAGACCUUUAUGGCUUUUAAUGUAUCCCAAAUUAGAACAUUUUACACCCUUGGUUCCUGAAAUAUAGUGAUAAAAAGCCUUUAGUUUAAUUUUUCCUGCCUGCUCGCUCUGACCUGCUUAAUCCCAGCAUGCAUUAGGAGAUAUUUUAGUUUCAGUCUUUCUAAUAAAGUUUAUCCCACUUAAUUAUAAUUGAAACUUUUUUUUUUUCCUACCAGUUUUUUUUUUCUUCCAAGUGGCGCAGUGGUGGCACAUUUCUUCAUUACCUCAAGACUUUCUUCCCCUUUGAUUGUGCUGUGAAUAUUACAGAGAAUUACCCCAACGUUUGGUGAAAUUGUUCCAAGUUGUUUAUUGUAGUUUGCCUCUGCUUGAAUAAUAUACCUAUCUCACGAGUGACAGAGGAGGCAGGAUUUUCCCUUUGUUUCCUGUGCUUCUGUGUGACUGGGGUUAUUGGGAUUAUUCUGCUUCACAAUACACAGGUGUCUUCCCUGGGAUUUGAAUGUUUGCCUCUUGCUGUCACGGUCCUUCUCUUCACUCCUGUUUUCAGGGACUGCCUCCAGUAUUCCAAACAGAAAUGCUUUUGAUGAUUGAGAAGUGCAUUUGGCGUUUUUCAUCAUGUUUUAAUGUUACAUUUUUUUUUUUUUUUUUUACAACAAAUAGAGACUAUAAACCAUAUAUGUGUCUUUCUGACUCAUGAAGGAGUUGUCUUGUUAAAAAGAAAGCCGGUGGUAGGUAAUUGCAGAGUCAAUUGCACUGAAUAUUACCAAAGAAAUUUUCAACAUGUUGGAAACUUUUCAGUCGAGUUAUAUGCAUCCAAGCUGCAAAUAUUUUGCAGAGGUCACCUGCCUCACCUUCACCAACUCGACAUGAGAAAAACCUUGAGGGGGAUGGAGGCGGUGCAUCGUUACUCAUCGAGAUGUCAAUUUAUUAAAGAUUGUGUUCUUGACAAAAGAGGCAUUUUUUUUUUUUUUUUUAGAGAGGGGGGGGGGGGAAGUAAAAAUAAAGAAGUGAGAUAAUGUGGGUUCACAAGUUUGCACACCCUCUUAUACAGAAACUGGGGAUAUGACUGUGUUCAGAAUUAACCAAUCACAUUCAAACGUGUUCACAACGCUCACACUUUAUCUCAAAGUUUAGCUCUUCUAGUAGCCUUUCCUGGACAUAUUAUUUAGUUUUAAGCAUAAGCCUGAAGGUUUUGUCCUCACACUAUCUGCUCUUUGGAACUGUUUAUAUUUCCCCUCCACCUUGACUAAGGCCCAAGUUCCAGCUAAAGAAAAACAGCCCUGCGAAGCAUGACACUGCCACCAUCAUGUUUCACUGUUGUUUUGAUGACGAGCAGUGUUUACCUUUUGGAAUUAUGGCUAAAACGUUCGACCUUGGUUUUAUAGGACCAUAACACAUUUUCCCACAUUUUUGGGAUAGAUUAAGGGUUUUUGUAAGAUAAGGCUUCCGUCUUGCCACGCUACUCCAUAGCCUAGACAAAUGGGGAGAUUGUUGUCAUAUGAGCUAAACAGCCAGGACUUUCCAGGAAUUUCUGAAACUCCUUCAGUGCAGCUGUCAGCUUCUUGGCAGCUUCCUGUACCAGUUUUCUUCUUGUCCUUUCAUCCAUUUUGGUGGGACCUCCAGUCUUUGGUAAAGUCACUGUUGUGCCAUAUUUUUUCCACUUGAUAAUGACUGCCUUCACAAUGUUCUGGACUAUGGACUAUUGGAAAUUCUUUUGUACCUCCUGACUGAUCUUUGAACAAUGGGAUCCCUCUGAUGCUGUGGAUGCUCUCUGUGGAUCAUGGCUUGUGCUAUAAAAUGUGACUACAAAAAUGUCAAGCCUACUAGAACAACUAAACUUUAUUUGGUGUUAAACAGAGACACUUUAAAUGGUGGCAGGCAUGUGCUUACUCUCAUUUAACAUGAGUCUGAAUGUGAUUGGUCAAUUCUGAACACAGUCAGAUUCCCAGUUAUAAGAAGCUGUGUGAACAUGCGCAACCACAUUCUCAGUCUGUUGUUUUUAACACCCCUCUCUACAUGCAGACUCCUCACAGAAACGCUCAAGCCGACAUUCGAACCCAGAAACCAGACUCGUGAGACACAUGCGUUGCUGUGCUACCGUCUCUGGCUGUGAAAAUCGCCGAAGCCACUGAUUGCCGUGACUUUGUGCAGCGCAAACAGGAAGAGGACGCUUUGAGGGCAGCAAAGAAAAGGAAGAAGCAAAUAGCUUGGGGGUACGA